rnacentral:tmRNA from 2 species
GGGGGCGACCUGGCUUCGACGUGGGUUACAAAUCCUGAGGUGCAUGCCGAGUAUGUGGUUCUUCUCGUAAAACAGACUACAACUAAACUAGUUGCAAACGAUAACAACUACGCUCUAGCGGCUUAAUCCCCGCUAGCCCCUGACUGAUACCGUGCUCAUGCGCUCAGGUUUCAGGGGUCGACUCACAUGAGAUCGUCUUGACGUAUGCUUGGUGCGAAGAGACUAAAACCUUACAAGAUCGCCGUUUGUCUUCCCUGUUUGUCGGGUAGCAACCGGUUAAAUUAAUAGACAAAAUAAGCAUGUAGAUCCAAUGGACGAGAGUUCGCGGACGCGGGUUCGAUUCCCGCCGCCUCCACCA